rnacentral:rRNA from 1 species
UUUGGAGGGCAAGUCUGGUGCCAGCAGCCGCGGUAAUUCCAGCUCCAAUAGCGUAUAUUAAAGUUGUUGCAGUUAAAAAGCUCGUAGUUGAAUUUCGGGAUCAAUUUAUUGGUCGUGCUAUUGUACGUACUGGUAUUAUUGAUUUCUACCUUCUGAAGAACCAUGAUGUCAUUAAUUUGGUGUCUUGGGGAAUCAGGACUGUUACUUUGAAAAAAUUAAAGUGUUUAAAGCAGGCCA